rnacentral:tRNA from 1 species
GCCUUCGUGGUGUAGUGGUCAGCACGCUAGACGCGUAUCCCAGAGGUCCGUGGUGCGAAUCCCGCGAAGGCG